ACAGUAUAUCUCGGGUCUUCGCACGAAUCGGCAACCAAAUAUUUACUUCUCGGAGUAUCGUUUCUAAUUUUCUACAAAAAAUCUGUGGGUGUCAAUGAUAAGAUCGAAGAGAAAGUUCGCGAUUACGGACAAAUUUCUACCAAGGCUCGCCAAGAACCUUACCACGAGAAAAGGCAGUCGGCGCGCGAACACCGGCAACCGCCUGGAGCACGCAGUCCUCACCCACAUCCAGCACGUGCCGUAGAUCCGCAUUAAUCUGCACCCCUCCCCAUCGUCACUCAUCCUCACCGGCACCUCGAAAUUUAAACAGUCAUGGCGCGCGGAGACGAAUGUAAGACCACCACUAAAGCUAACUACGCGUGCAAGAAUUUGGACAUCACACCUCCUACUAUGAAAAACUCCAUAACCUCAUCUUACGACUACAAGAAGAAAGCAGAGCCGAAGAAGGACUACGGCGCUUGGGGCCCCGUCUACAAGGACAAGAAGACAUUCACCGACAUGCAUCUGUGCUGAACGGAGCCGGUCCAUUGACUCACCAUCAUCGCUUUCAACUUCUUCAUCAUCGUCGUUCUCAAUAAUUAUUAAAUGAUUGUUGUAUAAUUCUGUAACGUUUAUAUUGUUUUGUAAUUUGGAUUUAACAGCGACAUUACUAUUUCUUCAUCGUUGAUGAUAUGAUGAUAAUUGAUUGGCCAGAAAUCAGUUAUCAUCGCAGUACUGGCAUCUACAAAGACGAGAUUAUCUUGAAAUAAUUUAUGUGAAGAAUGUAUUUAUGUAUGCACAAUAAAAAUAAAAAUGAAGCGCAAAAAUGACCAGCCGCCAUUUUGGAAAUUAACGGUCUUUUGGUUUUGUUACACCACUAUUGUAACUACUUAAUUGUAAAAUAAGAAAUAAAUUCAGUAAAAUGAAUUGUUGUCGACGAUUCUUUUGCAAUGUGUAUCGCAUCGGGGUAGGGUUCGCUUACUAACAGCUUUUGUAUCAUUUUAACAGAUUAAAUUGCAUCGUUCAUUCGCUAAA